rnacentral:rRNA from 1 species
AUCACUCGUCGGAUUAUGACUGUACGCCUCUAAGUCAGAAUCCAUGCCAGAAAGGGACGAUUUCCCCCUACACAUCGUAGUCGGAUACGAAUAGGCCUUUGGCCCUGAACCUUAGCAGGUUGGCGACCGGCUCCGGGUAGAAGUCCCGGGGUCGAGCUGACGAAUUGCAAUUUCACAAUGCGUAGGGAUAAAUCCUUUGCAGACGACUUAGUUGUGCAACCGGGUCGUGUAAGCAGUCGAGUAGCCUUGUUGUUA